rnacentral:lncRNA from 1 species
UUCUAGAUAUUUCGCCCCUUUCUCCUUUCUGUCUCAUUUUUGUUUGAUGAAAGCAAGAUUGUUCAUCUAGUUCGAUCCGAUUCGUUCUUUGUUAUUGUCUGAUCAUGGUUAGAUAUCCUAGAUACUUCGGUCCAGAUGAUCCCGUUUUCAGACACUUUGAUCAGAUCAAGGGUUUGACCCUAUACAAGGGAUAAGCGAAUGAGUUGGAUUUGACCCUGUACAAGGUUUGGUCUACCAAGCCAUGUAUGAACCUUUCAUAUAUUUUAGUGGGCUACUGAUAAGCGAAUGGGCUGGAUUUGACCCUAUACAAGGUUUGGUCUACCGAGCCAGGUAUGAACCUUUCAUCUAUUAUUUAUGUAUAAUUUGUGUUGUAUUUUGUUCAAGAUCUAAAAGGUUGGAAUGAACCGAAAAUAGUUUUUAAAAUUAAACCGAAAAUCCAUUUUGUGAUUAGAGUCUUGUGGUGAAGUGUUAUUAAACAAAGUAGGAUUUUUCAUAGACAUGUUUAACGUUUAGGAUUAUUUAAGAUAAUAUUUGAGCUUUUAAGAAAUAUCAAUUUUUUUAUAAAAUAUUCAUAUAAGUAUUAAGAUACCUAAUAACAGCUUGCAAAUAUAAUAAUGCUCUAUGAAGGAUAAAACAAUAAUGAACGAAAAAGGAAUAGACUUUAAAACGUGAAAGAGAAUAGGUAGAGAGAAUCCUACAGAUCUUUAAAUUCGUGUAAUUUUUCCAACUUAUUUAAAACAAUUUCAAACUCAAUAAACAAAAGAAGUGUUAGUACCUUGUCUGAUCUGAGAACACAAAUGUAAAGAUUUUAAUAUGACACACAAGUUGUAUUUAUUGUACUUAAUAUAAUGGUUGAUCAUAGCCCACCGCCCCUCUCUUAAUUAUUAGUCUGAUUUUUUGCUACAAAAG